AAUUGAAGAUGUGGGCGAAUCGAAGUGUUACAUCGAUACUAUUAAAUUCAAAUAACCUAAAAUUAUCAGUGCAGAAUACAGCAAAUAAAUUGAAUAUAAUGCAUGAGGGGAACACAAAGCGAUUACGUAAUUAUGCCCUGCUUUCGUAUAGAUGAUUUUUAUUAAAUUACCAAUAAUCGGCGCAUAUCUCAUUGAAAAUUAAACAGUUGUCUUACGCAUAUGCAUUAUCCUCCCUUGAAAGCAAGAAUUUCCCAGUAUUCUUUGAGAGGCCAAAGCAAACCACGCCCGCAAAUACGUCUGUCUCUGUCUGUGCGCUGCGCCGCUCUCGGCGCAGACAUGUUUCCACAGCCACAACAACACCAUUAUACACAACGCUACAACAAUGUGACAAAAGCAAUGAUUCUUGUGGGCGCGUAGAAUUGCAACUUAAUUGAAUUCCUCUCCUAAUGGCCCGACUGGCUGUCUGGCCAGGCGGUUAUUUCUUUCCGACGUUGGCCUCAGUUGGUGACAUUUAUUAUUCGCACAACGGUAGAAACGCCAAGUUACACACUCAACUGGAAAAAAGGAAAAUAGCUUAGUGCUAGUUGAAUAUUGCUCACUGCCAAAUAUAAUUGCUGCUUUUAGAAAGCAUUCAAUUGGAAAUUUCGGAUAUGACGUAUUGUCUUCUCUGUCUCGCAGAUUGUGUGAAAAGUGCGUCUAUAAUUAUCUGCUACUCCGACACCAUAAUUUACUGCGCCCGAGCGCACACGAAUGUGCAUUCCAUGAGCAGCCGUCAUAUAUACAAAACAAUUAUGAAUGAAUGUAUGUAUGUGUUGGCCGCUAGUUGAUUGCAGGAGGCAGGUGUUUGGGCAUUUUUAGGGGCAUUAGUGUUGGUUGAGCUGCAGUUCUGCACACAAGUCCACCAUUAUUAUCACGCAUAACGGGCAAGAACGAUGACAGUGCAGAAAAAACACUGAACGUGUUUGAAGAAAAUGGCUAAAGCGCGAGUGGCAAACGUUGACCACCAGCAAAAACAUCAACGAUUUUGAAUCGCGCGCUCAUAUAUACGCAUAUUCAUAUACAUAUGUAUGUUUACAUACAUACGAUGCUGUUCGCUCUCUUUAUUUGAGCUUGGCUCAUCUCCGGAUUUUCAACAUGUUGGAGCCAUUUUAAUUUAGUUGCAACUCUGACGACGUCAUAUUAUGUUUAAAUCCUUCUUCCUAGGUUAUGCGCAGGUCUUAAUUUUGCUUCAAACUCUACUUGACGCUUUUCGACUUUUGGUUAGAGUGGCAAAUGAAAAACUCUCCUUAACGAUUAUAGCUAUGUAUACUCCAGCGGUUAACAAUCGUUACGUUCACGAACGUUUUCAGUACGCUGUAUGAAUGGUGCAAAUAUCGAACGAGAUAACAAAUCAACUACAUACUUACUUAAGUUAUUGAUCAGAAUUUUUAUAAGCUGAAUAAUAGCUUGGCACGAACGUCGAAGACCUAUAAGGAUACAUAAAUGAUCAGUGUAACGAGCCGAGAGGAUUUAACCAUGUCCGUCUGUCUGCAUAUACAUACAUACCUAAACUAGUCUCUCAGCUUUUACAUAUCGAUUUUGUACACGUCCGUUUAUUUCCAAGAAGUUUCUCAUUUGUUGGGACCGCCGAUAUCGGAACACUAUAACAUAUAGCUACCAUACAAACUGUCCGAUAAAAUCAAGUUCUUAUGGUAUAUGGAAAGUUCUUUAUCUCAAAGACAUAAGUUGAAGUUAACGUUAACGGAGGUGCCGCCGAAGUGAAUAUUUUUUUUAUAGAGAAUAUCGAUAAGCGUUGACGACCGAUUGGGUAGUGGGCGCCCAAAAACAACAACGAAUUGAUGAUUCGAAACAGUGUUUGGAGAUUUUUCAAGCAUAAUAAACCCGAACUUUUGCAUAAAUAUGUGGCAAGGGAUGAAGCCUGGUUCCAUCAUCGAUAGUUAUCCGAAUUAACUGCACUCGAAGAACCAGCUGCAAAACGUGGACAAACGCAACAAUCGGCUGGCAAAGUUAUGGCGUCUGAAUUUGGAAUACACACAGAAACAUUUUUUUUGACUACCUCCAAAAAGGAUGAUCAUCAACAGCAACUAUUACAUUGCUUUAUUGGACUGUUUGAUUGACGAAAUAGCCGAAAAACGGCCAUGUUUAAAAAAAAGAAAAUGUUGUUUCACCAAGGCAAUGCAUCAUGUCACAAGUCAGGGAAGAUGAUAUCAAAAAUCAAUGAUUUGGGCUUGGAAUUGCUUCCGCACCGUGUUCUCCAGAUCUGGGGAGGAAUUUUCUUCGAAAUAAGAGGUGAUCCCCGACAUUGACGCCUAUUUUGAAGCAAAGGACAAAUCUUAGUACAAAAUGGUAUCGAAAAGUUGGAGGGUAUAAUAGAUCACCCUUGAAGAGAACUACAUAUGUAUGUAUGUUGAAUAAAAAAAACGAAUAUUCCCAAAAAAAUGCCUCACGUCCAUGAACCAAUGGAAAUUAACCAAAAAUAUUUAGGCCAAUUGACAUAUCAGUAUGAAUUUGUAUAAUUUCGAUUUCGUAAGAAAAAUAAACCUUUUCUCUAAAGAA